rnacentral:rRNA from 1 species
GAUGAACGCUGGCGGCGUGCCUAAUACAUGCAAGUCGAGCGAACAGACGAGGAGCUUGCUCCUCUGACGUUAGCGGCGGACGGGUGAGUAACACGUGGAUAACCUACCUAUAAGACUGGGAUAACUUCGGGAAACCGGAGCUAAUACCGGAUAAUAUAUUGAACCGCAUGGUUCAAUAGUGAAAGACGGUUUUGCUGUCACUUAUAGCUGGAUCCGCGCCGCAUUAGCUAGUCGGUAGGGUAACGGCUUACCAAGGCGACGAUGCGUAGCCGAUCUGAGAGGAUGACCGGCCACACUGGAACUGAGCCACGGUCCAGACUCCUACGGGAGGCAGCAGUGGGGAAUGUUGCACAAUGGGCGCAAGCCUGAUGCAGCCAUGCCGCGUGUAUGAAGAAGGCCUUCGGGUUGUAAAGUACUUUCAGCGGGGAGGAAGGGAGUAAAGCUAAUACCUUUGCUCAUUGACGUUACCAGCAGAAGAAGCACCGGCUAACUCCGUG